UAGCGUCUAGCGAGCUUGAGAUAUCCUCCUUGCUUUCGCGAAGGAAACCCCCUGACGCCGGACUCGAGCUCCCGCGAAAUACGAUGGCCGCUUCUCUCCUCCAUCUCCCCUCCCCUGCACUCUCGCUACGGAGCAAUACGCCAAUCUCUUGUGCAAACUAUGGUGACAGUGUUGCAGUUUUUCCAAGAAAAUUUGAGUUCAAUUCCGACGUCAUUGCGAGGCCUGGAUUGCUGUGCUUUUCUACGAAAGGGUUCUUGAAGCUACGCUAUGCUCUUGAAGAAGAUUAUCUUUCCUGCGGUCUCGAGAAUUUACCGAGUUCAAAGAUGCUUGAUAGGAAAAAUGUUAACAUGGAUGAUAUGGAGGACUUUGAGAGACAGAUUCAAGAUUUCUUUAUUGAAGUCAGAACGAAGAUUGAAAUGGGAAAUAAAGAGGAUGCCAUAGACUUACUUCAAGCAAAUUAUGAAGUAGUGAAGGAGCAGAUCGACGAUGGGGCUAAAGGCAUAGAGCAAGCUGCUAUUCUAGAUGUUAUAGCUUUGGGAUACAUAGGUGUCGGCAACCUUAAGUUUGUUGAGCAUCUACUUGAUAUGUUGAAUGACAUAGUGGGUGCUCUGCAUGAUGGCUACCCACUAGUGGAUUCAAUACUAAUACAUAUGGGAAGUAUGUUCACAACUUUGGGGAAGUUUGAGGAUGCUAUUCUCGUAUACCAAAGAGGCCUCAAAAUUCUUGAGAGAGAGUUUGGAAAGAACAGUCCUUUUCUCAUAACACCACUUAUGGGAAUGGCAAAAGUCUUAAGGUUAAUUGGAAGGGUCACUAAAGCCAUAACAAUUUAUCACCGGGCUGUUUAUAUUUCGGAGAAGAACAGAGGAGCAGAAAGUGAGGAGCUUGUGAUACCUUUAUUUGCCCUUGGCAAUCUUUUUAUCAGCGAAGGAAAGGCAACAGAUGCUGAAACAUGCUUUAGCAGGAUUUUAUGCAUAUAUAAAAAAGUAUAUGGAGAAAAUGAUGGAAGGACUGGAAUGGCUAUGUGUUCUUUGGCACAUGCUCUUUGUGCAAAAGGAAGCGUGCAGGAAGCUAUUCAUAUGUAUAAAAGAGGUCUUCAAGUUGUAAGGGAUUCUAAGUUAAUGAAUUUAGAUGAUGAUGUUCUAGAAAAAAUGAGGAUUGAUUUGGCAGAGUUGCUCCAUGUUACUGGAAGGGAACAGGAGGGCAGAGAGCUACUUGAGGAAUGUUUGCUGAUCACUGAAAGGUACAAGGGGAUCGAGCAUCCUAGUUCAGUGAUUCACCUACUGAAUCUUGCAACCUCACAUUCUCGUUCAAAAAAUUUUGUUGAGGCAGAGCGCUUGCUAAGGACAUGUUUGCAUAUCAUGUCAAAAACAGUGGGCCCAAAUGAUCUGUCCAUCACUGCCCCAAUGUUACACCUGGCAGUUGCAUUAUACCAUUUAAAACGAGAUGAAGAAGCUGAAAGUCUUGCUAUUGAAGCGUUGCACAUCCGUGAAAAUGCAUAUGGAAAAGAAUCUCUUCCAGUAGGUGAAGCCCUUGAUUGCCUAGUUUCAAUUCAGACAAGAUUAAGGAGGGAUGACAGUGACAUAUUGGCCAUUUUGAAAAGAAUUUUGAGCAUGCAGGAGAAAGAGAUGGGUUAUGAAAAUGAAGAGGUGAUAACGACCCUUAAAAAGGUUGUCUACUAUCUGGAUAAAAUGGGGAAAAAAGAAGAGAAGUUGCAUCUUCAGAGGAGACUGUCCUUGCUCUGCGCCAAAUACAAGCAUAAGGUUCCUGUUUGAGAGAUUGCCGAGGUCUGGAUUCUUGCAUACUGGAUGUGGUCUUUAAGAGCUAGAAGAGUAACCUGCUCAUGCCUAUGCCACAGCGUUUGACAUGCUGAUUGGACAUCAGGUCCAGGUUCUAUGCAGGUCUGUGAAGCAGCUGCUAUAUAGUAGCCGGCCAUGCAACAACCCUUUUGACAUAAUAGUGCUGUAUCAGUGAUGGUCCAAACUACAGAUCAUUAGUUAAACUGGGAACUCCAUCAUCAUGGAUAUGGGUUCUUGAGUUCCAUAGACAUUGUUGAGCCAUAUAAGCCAGCUUUCAUAGGAUAUGUUGAUUUCUGUGCACUCGAGUGCAGUAUCUCAUCUCGUUGCCAUCCUGAGAAUAAAUGCUUUGCAUGCAUAGAAAGAUGAUGUUCAAUGUGAGGGGCCAGACAACCCUCUUGCAUCAUCCUACUACAGGGAGGAAAACAAAGGACCAUCCGAAGAGCUCGGAACAGCUGGAUAUAAAUCAUUUGAUGAAAUGUUUGAGUCUCCCAAAGCUACAAUACCAAAAUUAUACUUAUGGAAAAGGAAGAGAUUGUUUAUCUGAUAGUACAGCUUUUGUUUGGGCAUAAGUAAAGGAACCGAAGAUCAUCAUUUGAUAUCAA